rfam:Pediculus humanus corporis strain TSDA 1103172085501, whole genome shotgun sequence.
GUCAGGAUGGCCGAGCGGUCUAAGGCGCCAGACUCAAGGAUUACCUUGUCCAUUAUUAAUGGAUUAUAUAAACGAGCGUUCUGGUCCUCACUGAGGGCGUGGGUUCGAAUCCCACUUCUGACA